AGUGAACGCUGGCGGAAGGCCUAACACAUGCAAGUCGAACGGCGGCACAGUAAGAGCUUGCUCUUACGGGUGGCGAGUGGCGGACGGGUGAGGAAUACAUCGGAAUCUACUUUUUCGUGGGGGAUAACGUAGGGAAACUUACGCUAAUACCGCAUACGACCUACGGGUGAAAGCAGGGGAUCUUCGGACCUUGCGCGAUUGAAUGAGCCGAUGUCGGAUUAGCUAGUUGGCGGGGUAAAGGCCCACCAAGGCGACGAUCCGUAGCUGGUCUGAGAGGAUGAUCAGCCACACUGGAACUGAGACACGGUCCAGACUCCUACGGGAGGCAGCAGUGGGGAAUAUUGGACAAUGGGCGCAAGCCUGAUCCAGCCAUACCGCGUGGGUGAAGAAGGCCUUCGGGUUGUAAAGCCCUUUUGUUGGGAAAGAAAAGCAGCAGGUUAAUACCCCGCUGUUCUGACGGUACCCAAAGAAUAAGCACCGGCUAACUUCGUG
rnacentral:rRNA from 1 species